UUUAAUCAACUGGUUUCAUUUGUUCGCUAUAUGGAGCGGCGCUGUCAUUACUUGUGUUUGUGAUAAUAAACCAAACAAAAAGCGUCCUAGAUGUCAGAUUAUCCGAAAUAAAUCCCUAAGAGCGAUACAAAAAGGGCAACAACCGAGGACCAGACUCAACUCUCAGCGGCUAAAAGGAUCUGGUUGGAAGCAGCAACAGUUUUGUCAAACAAAAAAAUACUUUUUAUGGAAAUAAUAUUCAUCUUCAUCAUCAUCGCGCACACGCGCAAAUAGACUUCUGUUCUUCCGGAGCAGUGAAGCCACAGCUGAGUGCCACAUCAUACGUUUGAUUCACCUGGAAACAGGUAGAGCUGAACCUGUUGGCUUCUGGAUGAAGGAAUCUGCUUUGAUCGAUUUCUGGCAAAUCAGAAUAAUUCAUGGAAUGGACGCUCCGUUGGAUACAUUGGCGCACUGAUGAUGGUGAAUCUCCCCAGUUUCCACCUGCAUCGCAAAGAGGAAGAUAUCUUCAUAAAUGGAAAUGUUUUGCACAAUGUGCCUGGUUAGGAAUGUGUGUUGUGGAGACUCAAAUGGAGGUGGGUGCGUGCACCACGGAACUGUGCUGUCAUAAGUUGUGUUGGUGCUAAUAAGCCAAACAAAAGGCCUUCUGGAUGUCAGAUUAUCUGUGAUAAUCUAUUAAGAGCGUCACAAAUAGGGCAACAAACGAGGACAGACUCAACUCUCAGCGGCUAAAAGGAUCUGGUUGGAAGCAGCAAUAGCACGCAUGUUAGAAAAGGAUAAAAAAAUGUAGCAGUAGUGAUACUCUCAGAAGAAUAUAACUUAAAUACAUGUAAAAAG